CCGCUGUCAACAUGUGCAUGUGAAAACGAAAGUAGAUUUGUUAUCUAGGAAUUAUUACAACAUUUUACCCUUCUACGUUGAAUUUUUAAGAUAUAAUAGUAUGAAUACAGUAGAGAUGAUUAUUUAGUUACCUUCAACUGGUGGUCAAAAGGUAUGUCUUUUUGAUAAUUGUAAAAUUUUCCUUACAUACUUUUUCUUAUGAUAAUUGCAGGCCUCCCAAGUUAAUCUCCACAGUUCUUACCAUCUAUCUACUUUGUUUCUACUGAAAGCAUAAACACUUUAAAAUAACUAUUCUAUAUUCUGUAUAUCCAGGGUUGCAGUGUAUCACAUGAUCUUUUUGAAAUUUCUGUGACCUAUAUUUUCUAGAGUAAAAGAAAAUGUUUGUCAUAUUUAUGCAAGAGUAACACCAGAUCAACUGAGACCCAAAAUAUAGCUGUGGUGUGUGACUUACUUGUUCUCAUGACACAAUGAAAGAUCAGCUGCUGUGGAACCAGUCAUACACAUAUACUGGUACCUGCCAGAACAUUACCUUUUAAUUCAAGAAAGUUGCUUUUAAAUCAAUUUUGUGGCUUUAUAUCUAUAAACCUGAGGUCAUAUUCAUAAAGCUUCUAAGAUUAUUUUCAUCUAAGAUAUUCAAUAUUUUGUUAAAGACCUGAAGUUGAAAUAUUUUCUAAUUUAAAAUAUGAGAAACAUUAUGAAUAUGACCCGUGUAAUUAAAUUAAUUGAUGAAUCACACAAUUAUGCAUAUUGGUUAUAUCAUAAAAUAUUAUUUGACCCUUUUAUGUCAGGGAGUAUUUCCGUGUGUCUUGAAGCAUUGAAUGCCCCAAAACAACCAGUAUGAUAAGAAGGUAUUUUAGAUCUCUUUUCCUUUACCUAAGGAAGAUCUGAUAAAUAAAACUUCAAAACACUAAUUAUGCUCUGAUGUACACACAGAUUGUACCUUGCAUUUUUUUUUAUAGAGAUGAGAAGAUAGUUCAUGUAUAUAUUUGUUUUUGCACAAGAUUCAGAAUCAAUUUUCUAUCAACUAUGACAAAAGCAUUCAAUAUAUGACAUAACAAAAUUCAGUAUUUCAGGAACUUCAUUUCAAAAGGAUAUAUUAAAAAUUUAUCAAGUUGCUUUAUAUUACAUUACAGACCAAAGUAUAUCGCUUCCCAAAAUGUUGAAAGACUAAGCUGUUUUUCUAUGGACUUGUAUACUAUCUAGGUUGAAAACAGCCAUGGACAAUGAAUUUGGAGGCGCAUGCUGGAGCAUCAGAAAUUACAUACUUGGAAUAAAUGAUUACACAAUACACAUUUACUGAGAAGUGACUAAUGUUUAUGUUAAAGUGCAAUAUCCAUGUUUGUAAUAUUUACAUGGGGGUAAUAGUUACAGUGUUGAAAGAGACUACCAGUGUUGCAUUUCAAUCUAAGUUACAGUGUGGAUGCUAUUUCUAAAUUUGUGAUAAUCAAGUGUUUUUAAUAACUGAUGAAUACUAAUUAUUUAUCAAACUGUUUAAUUUAUCACAUUCCUACAUCAUUAUUUUAUAUAAAAUGCUUGUAGUAAUAUAAUAUAUGUCAGGUUAAAUGGUAAUAAAUUUUGUUUACGUGUAAAUAUCUUGAUUUUUGAAAAAUGAAAAUGAUACAUUCAGUGGCCAUCAUCUGUCAAAAAUUUAUUACACAUGACAAGUUCAUGGAAUAGCAGAAUAUACAUAACAUUGUAUAGUUUUCCUAACUUGUAUCU